rnacentral:rRNA from 1 species
GACAGAGGUGCCAAGCGUUAGGCGGAAUCACUGGGCUUAAAGCGUGUGUAGGCGGAUCGUUAAGUACCUUGUGAAAUCCCACGGCUCAACCGUGGAACUGCUGGGUAUACUGGCGAUCUUGAGCCACCUAGGGGCGAGCGGAACAAGCGGUGGAGCGGUGAAAUGCGUAGAUAUCGCUUGGAACGCCAAUGGUGAGAACAGCUCGCUGGGGGUGUGCUGACGCUGAGACACGAAAGCCAGGGGAGCGAACGGG